GUGGGGAAUAUUGGACAAUGGGCGCAAGCCUGAUCCAGCCAUUCCGCGUGCAGGAUGAAGGCCUUCGGGUUGUAAACUGCUUUUGUACGGAACGAAAAGCCUCUGGUUAAUGCCCGGGGGUCAUGACGGUACCGUAAGAAUAAGCACCGGCUAACUACGUGCCAGCAGCCGCGGUAAAACGUAGGGUGCGAGCGUUAAUCGGAAUUACUGGGCGUAAAGCGUGCGCAGGCGGUGAUGUAAGACAGUUGUGAAAUCCCCGGGCUCAACCUGGGAACUGCAUCUGUGACUGCAUUGCUGGAGUGCGGCAGAGGGGGAUGGAAUUCCGCGUGUAGCAGUGAAAUGCGUAGAUAUGCGGAGGAACACCGAUGGCGAAGGCAAUCCCCUGGGCCUGCACUGACGCUCAUGCACGAAAGCGUGGGGAGCAAACAGGAUUAGAAACCCUGGUAGUCC
rnacentral:rRNA from 1 species